rnacentral:misc_RNA from 1 species
GUCUUGUUCUCUUGGGGAAGAAAGUUCGUUAGCGUUGGAGGUGCUUGAUGGGUUAUGGGGUCCUCCAGAAUCAUUGUCUGAGUCUGCCAUGGUGAUAUGAUGAUAGUAAUAAUAAUCAAUGAGAACUUGCAGUUGCAGUAGAAGACUAGUACUCCGAUUCCCUUGUUUUAUCUUAGCAGGCGAUCGAAGAGCAGGGUCAUGAACAUUUGCUCCGUGAAGCGACGUAGAGGUAGAAGUAGAGGUAGAGGGAGAGUUGAGGGUAUUAAAAGGCUAAGCCGUAGC